AAACUCUAACCCUAAAUCCUAAAUCCUAAACCCUAAACCCAAAACACAACCCUAAAUUAAUCCCUAAACUCAUUACUUGAUCAUGGUUCGGGUUUAUGGUUUAGAGUUUUGGGUUUAGGGUUUAGAAUUUAAGGUUUAGAGUUUAGGGUUGAUGGUUUAGGGUGUAUGGUUUAGGGUUUUGGGUUUAGAAUUUAGAAUUUUAGGUUUAGAGUUUAGGGUUUAGGGUUUAUGGUUUUGGGUUUUGGGUUUAGAAUUUAGAAUUUUAGGUUUAGAGUUCAGGAUUUAGGGUUUAUGGUUUAGAGUUUUGGGUUUUAGGUUUAGAAAUUAGGGUUUAGAUUUUAAGAUUUAGAGUUUAGGAUUUGAGGUUUAGGGUUUAGAUAUUAGAUUUUUAGAAUUUCGGGUUUUGUAGACGGCGUUAACGUCGGUGUUUU
rnacentral:lncRNA from 1 species